UUCAGUAUUUACCAAGUGUUGAGCCAUUUGGACAAAAAUUGCCAAUGUGAAUCUAAACAGGAGAAACUGGGUGUAGCUUAGUUUUACAAUGGGGAUGAAACUGACAUAUUUUGGAAGCCAGUGUGAAAAACCACUCAGACAAGCCAAAGAGAUGUCUGCAUGUCCAGGAGGAAAGUAAAAAGCACCUGUUUGAUUCUAUAUAUAAAUGCAGAUGACACUAAGUUAAAGUCAAUCAUCAUUCAAAAUCGAAGCUCCCCAAAGGUGUGUAAAAGGACACAGUGCAUUAUCUAUGAUAUAUAAACUUAGUAAAAAUGUUUGGUUCAUCAGAGCAUCGUCUUCAGAAUGGUUCUUUCAAAACUAUAUUCUUCAAGUCAGGCAUUUUCAACAUAACAUUUUAUAACUCAAUGAAGAGGAAGUCAGGGCACUGUGACUUCUGUAUAAUCCCCAGGCUUACAUUUCAAUGAAUCACUAACCAGUGAGGAUGGUCAGAUAAAAGUCAUUUUCUUUCCCCUAAACACUUCAACCUUGAUUCACCCAAUAAAUCAAGGUGUGAUCUUGAGCUGCAAACAACUUUAUAGGUGGAAGCAACUUAAAGAGAAUAUUGUAAUUUUGAAUAAGGUCAUGAUGAGCAAGAUAAAGAAGGAAAAAGAGUUUCCAAAGUCAAACCCACAAACCAAGAAUGCGUAAUUUUUAAGUGAGCAAACAGCUUAGAGGAGGAAAAAUGUAGAUCAAUUUUCGAGAAAUAUGGAAAACUGGAAACCAACUUAGAAAAAGAUAGGAUAUAAAUGAGAAUGAAGAAAAGGGUUACCUUCCCCCUCUCAAAUUUGUGAUUACAAAGGAAGUUGUUCAAAAAAAGAGGAGAGACUGAUGAAGAACAACAACAGAUGGCUAAAUUUAAAUGAUGUGCUGUGAGACAGAGGUUGGACAACCUCACUGAUUUUUUUUUAUUUUACAACUGAAUUUUAAAGGUUUCAUUUCAUGCCGAAGGAGAUGCAACAAGUAUUAAUCAAACAAGUAGAAUCUACUCUGAACAGUUUCAGAGUAGAUUCAAUUCUAAAAUUGGUAGCUUUCAAAAUCAAGGCCUCAUAAUAGUGAGUUGUUAAACAUGACUUUGAUUUCUGGUUCUAGUAAUUAGA
rnacentral:lncRNA from 10 species